UACGUAGGGUGCGAGCGUUGUCCGGAAUUAUUGGGCGUAAAGAGCUCGUAGGCGGCUUGUCGCGUCGGAUGUGAAAGCCCGGGGCUUAACCCCCGAGCCUGCUUCUGAUACGGGCAGACUAGAGGUAUGCAGGGGAGAACGGAAUUCCUGGUGUAGCGGUGAAAUGCGCAGAUAUCAGGAGGAACACCGGUGGCGAAGGCGGUUCUCUGGGCAUUACCUGACGCUGAGGAGCGAAAGUGUGGGGAGCGAACAGG
rnacentral:rRNA from 1 species